CCCGCCCUCGAUCUCUCGGGUUCCCCUCUCCCACCGCCGCCUCCGCUUCAAAACCCUACUGCCCCUCCUCCCCCUCUUCUGCUCCAAACCUCCUCCUCUCUUCUGCUCGAAAAUCGUAGCUCGAUCCUCUCAGGCGUGCCGAUCUCCCCGGUGUGCCCCUUCCCAUCGUCCUCCGCUCCAAAACCCCCUCCCCUCCUCUGCUCCAAAAUCCUACACUGAUCCAUUUCCCCGACGUGCUCCCCUCCCCCCCUCCUCCACUCCAAAACUCCGAUCGAUCUCCCCGGCGUGCCCCUCCCCCUCCUCCACUCCAAAACCCUCGCGCCUAAGCUUCCCCCCUCCCACCGAUCUCCCCGGCGUGCCCCUCCCGCGGCGUGCCCCCUGAUCUCUCUGGCAUGCCCCUCCCCGCGACGUUUCCCCCGUUCUCCCCGGCGUGCCACCCUCCCCCGAUCUCCCCGGCGUGCCCCAGCCCGAUGGCGGUUUGGCCUCCCCUCCUUGACGCAGAAGACAUCAGGAUCCGUCGGACUCCUCCAUCAUCGGUCAGGCAAAGAUGAAGGACAUGAUAAAUGUCAAAUAUGUCAGAGUUCUAGAUACAAGCAAUUUACAGAAGAUUCAAAUGAUGAAACUACUAAGAAUAGUCAGAUUACUGCAAAACAAGUACGGUACUUUUCAUUGAAGUCGAGGUUGCAGAAAUUCUUUAUGUCAUCAAAAACUGCAGAGUUAAUAAGAUGGCAUGAGGAGGAACGAACAAAAGAUGCUGUUCAAAGACAUCCUGCAGACUCAAUUGUUUGGAGAACUUUUGAUGAACGGAAUCCAUCCUUCACUGCAGAUUGUCGAAAUAUUAGACUUGGUUUAACAGCUGAUGGAUUUAAUCCAUUUAGAUCAAUAUCUAUAGCUUAUAGCACUUGGCCUGUUGUUCUAAUACCAUAUAAUUUACCAUCGUAGAUGUCUAUGAAGCAACCUUUCUUUAUUCUUUUUAUGCUUAUUGAUGGGCCAAAAGGAUCGGGCAAUAAGAUCGAUGUUUAUUUACAACAUUGAUUGAAGAACUAAAUGAAUUAUGGAAGAAAGGGAUACUUACAUAUGAUGCAUCAAAAAAAGAGAUGUUUCAACUUCAUGCUGCAUUAUUAUAGACAAUCAAUGACUUUUCUGCAUAUGCAAAUUUGUCUGGAUAGAGUACAAAAGAUAAACUUGCCUGUCUUUCUUGUUACAAUCAAAUAGAAUCAACAUGGUUGUCACAUGAUAGAAAAUUUUGUUAUAGAGGGCAUCGACGAUUUUUACCGAAUACCCACAGAUUUUGAAGAGAUAGAAUAUCUUUUAAUGGUCAAGGAGAAUACAGAAGGAAGCCUGUUAAAUUAUCAGGUUCUGAUAUAUUAAAUCAAUUGAAUGGAGUACUCACAGAAUAUAAAAAGGAAGACCUUGUAAAGAAAAAAAUUGAAGAAAAUCAAAAAGACACUUCAGAUGGAAAAAGUCUAGGUGGAAAAAGAAAAGUAUAUUUUUUGAUUUAUCAUAUUGGGAGCAUAAUUUGAUUUAGCAUAAUCUUGAUGUCAUGCACAUUGAGAAGAAUGUAUGUGACAAUAUACUUUGGACAAUAUUGGGGUUUGCAGAAAAAUCCAAGGAUAAUUUAAAUUCUCGAUAUGAUAUGCAAAAAAUGAGUAUAAGAAAAGCAUUACAUCCACAACAAUAAGUGUCUGGUAAGGCUUAUUUACCUCCAGCUUGUUUUAUAAUAUCCAAAGAUGAUAAAGAUAUCUUCGUAAAAAUGCUAAAAAAAUAUUAGAGUCCCCGAUGGUUAUGCAUCUAAUACCAGUUGCUGCAUACAUUUAAAGGAGCAUAGUAUUUGAGGAUUAAAAAGUCAUGACAAUCAUAUUUUGAUGCAACAGCUACUUUCUGUAGCUGUACACAAAGCAUUAUCUAAGGACGUGGUUGAGGCAUUGAUUGAGUUAACAAAUUUCUUUAGGCAAUUAUACUCAAAGGUGAAUAAAAUGACUAACCUAGAGUAUAUUCAAGGUCAUAUUACUUUAACACUUUGCCAUCUUGAGAAGAUCUUUCCAUCUUUAUUUUUUAAUAUAAUAGAGCAUUUACCUAUACAUUUAGCAGAAGAGGUACUCAUUGCUGGAGCAGUGCAAUUUAGGUGGAGGUAUUCUAUUGAAAGAAUGGCUCCAAAGAGGACACGUUGUGUAUCCAUAUUGGAUAUAUUACAUACUUAUCAUCAUCUCAGUCCAAUCAUGAUGAGUCACAGCAAUAAUCACUUUCAGCAUAUAAUACUCAGCCACAUAGACAAUGAUCAGAGACUGCAUUAUCUCAGCCACAGUCAUCAAAUGUUGCAGGAGGAGAUAAAAUGAUGACUUGAGGAAGUAUCUGAGGACGAGCGCACACCAGAACUAAAAGAUCGUAUCUUUGUGGAGGUGAUGGGAGAAGAUGGACAUGGACGGAUGCGUACUUCGAGUUCGAGCAUGAUAAAGCGAUGUUUGCAUCAGCAAUCUUAUCAGGCACCAUCAGAGGAGAUCAUUAGGAGGAUUCGGGAUGAGCUUCGGACGGAGUUUAUUGACAAGAUUUCCUACUUGGAGGCACAGCUCCAUCAGAUGCAUGCUCAGAUGGCGAGUGGAUGUUUUGUGCAUAGCCCAGUAGGUACUCCUCGUUCGGUGCCAUCUAGUAGUGGUUCCAGAUGCAUCUAGUGCUCACCAAACACAUGCAUCGAAAAAUGAGAGAUUCACUCAGGUGCCUGAUGAGGUUGAGGUACAAGUCCAUGAAGAUGAAGCAAGUAAAUUUCAUAUUCUGUUUGGCUUUUUAUUAUAUUUUGGACAAUGGAUAUGUACUUGAAUACUUAUGUUAUGUUUGAACAAAAUCUAGAUAAAUUAAACUAAUAAUCAAGUGGGAAAAACUAUAGCCAAAUGUGGGUCUUCUUAAGGAUAGAGGACUAUGGAGCUGGCUUUGCUGUGGGAGAAUCCCCAUUAUUUGACUCUAUAGUAUUUUAGAUUGAGUUGAGAGUAGCUUACAAAGAUUUGGUAUACAUUAUUUUUUGCUUGCAGACUGAUAGAUUUAUUUUGGAGGAAGAUUUUAAGUCUUGCCCAAGACAAUGAUCGCUGAAUUUGUAAGUGGCUCUAAGCCUGCUAAAACUCAUUUUUCCCUAUUGGCUGAUGCUUGAAGGCUCGUUGUGUGGUGUUUCAAUUGUUUGAUCAGAUAUAUUUAUGAGAAGAAAAAUUGUAAGGCUGA